rnacentral:rRNA from 1 species
GGGGAAUAUUGGACAAUGGGCGAAAGCCUGAUCCAGCAAUACCGCGUGAGUGAUGAAGGCCUUAGGGUUGUAAAGCUCUUUCGACGGGGAAGAUAAUGACGGUACCCGUAUAAGAAGCCCCGGCUAACUCCGUGCCAGCAGCCGCGGUAAUACGGAGGGGGCUAGCGUUGUUCGGAAUUACUGGGCGUAAAGAGCGCGUAGGCGGCGUGACAAGUUGGGAGUGAAAUCCCGGGGCUUAACCCCGGAACUGCUUCCAAAACUGUCAUGCUAGAGAUUGGUAGAGGACAGUGGAAUUCCUAGUGUAGAGGUGAAAUUCUUAGAUAUUAGGAGGAACACCGGCGGCGAAGGCGGCUGUCUGGACCAAAACUGACGCUGAGGCGCGAAAGCGUGGGGAGCAAAC